CUUGGUCAUUUAGAGGAAGUAAAAGUCGUAACAAGGUUUCGUAGGUGAACCUGCGGAAGGAUCAUUAUUGAAUACGUUGGUACUGUUGUGGCUCUUCACUGAGCAUGUGCACGUCCAUCUAUUUAUCUUCUCUUGUGACCUUUUGUAGUCUUUUUCUGAAAAAGAGCGGGCAGAGGCAAUCUGCUUUGCUCUUUUUCAGAGGGGCUACGUUUUCAUAUACACUAUUAAAGUUACAAAUGUCUUUUAAAGAUUGUGCUAGCCGCAGUCAUUAAACCUAUACAACUUCAGCAACGGAUCUCUUGGCUCUCCCAUCGAUGAAGAACGCAGCGAAAUCGAUAAGUAAUGUGAAUUGCAGAAUUCAGUGAAUCAUCGAAUCUUUGAAGCACCUUGCGCCCUUUGGUAUUCCGAAGGGCAUGCCUGUUUGAGUGUCAUAAAUUAUCAACCUUUUUGCUUUGCUUGCGAAGCAUCUAGGCUUGGAUGGGGGGUUUUUGCUGGCUUCCUUCAGUGGAUGGUCUGCUCCCCUUAAAUGAUUAGCGGGAUCUCUUGUGGACCGUCACUUGGUGUGAUAAUUAUCUAUACACUUGGCCUUGAAGCAAAUCUUAUGAGGACCCGCUCAUAACCGUCCCUUGGGGACAAGUCUCUUGACAUUUUGACCUCAAAUCAGGUAGGACUACCCCUGAACUUAAGCAUAUCAAUAAGCGGAGGA
rnacentral:rRNA from 1 species